rnacentral:hammerhead_ribozyme from 1 species
GCACUACUGAGGAGUCCCAUAGUGGGACGAAACGGCCGUCCAGUGC